AUUGAUGCUAAAUUGGUUGAUGCUAAUGGAAGGGUUCUUCGUCGAAAAUCCAUGGGUGAAGAUUUGUUUUGGGCUAUCCGAGGAGGUGGAGGGAAUACCUUUGGGGUUGUUCUUGCUUGGAAAGUAAAGUUAGUCCCUGUUCCACCGGUUGUAACUGUGUUUACAGUUAACAAGAACCUGGAACAAAAUGCAACCAAAAUCUUCCAUCGAUGGCAAUACAUUGCUCACAAGUUACCCAAGGAUUUAUUUACGACUGUUUGGGUAAUGAAGGUGAAUUCCAGUCAAGUAGGGAAGAAAACAGUUCAAGCUAGUUUUAGGGGCAUGUUACUUGGUGGGGUUGAUGAGUUGAUUCCAUUGAUCCAAAACGAGUUUCCAGAGCUAGGACUUGCCAAAGAGAAUUGUACCCAAAUGAGUUGGGUUCAAUCUAUUCUUUACUUUGGAGGACUUCCAAUUCAACCCGUGGAUAUUUUGCUUAAUAGACAUGCUCUUCCAGUAUCAAGCGUCAAAGAAAAAACGGACUUCGUCAGGGAACCGAUGUCUGAAACUGGAAUCGAAGGGUUCAUGAACAUGUUUCUUGAGGAAGAAGCUGACUUUGCUAUAACGAUGAUAGAGGCUUUCGGAGGCAGAAUGGAUGAAAUCCGGGAAAAUGAAUUACCUUACCCACAUAGAGCAGGCAUCUUGUUCGAAUCCACUUACAUUGUGCAAUGGACAAAUGAAGCAGAUGCGGGAACGUACAUAAACUGGAUCCGAAGACUCUACAGUUAUAUGGCCAGUUAUGCUUCCAAGUCUCCGAGAGAAGCAUAUUAUAAUUACAAGGAUCUAGAUCUUGGAACUAACAACAUUAUUGGUUACACAAGUUACGAACAAGCUAGCGUUUGGGGUCUUAAAUAUUUCAAGAAUAACUUCAAAAGAUUGGUGCAAAUAAAGACCAAGGUUGAUCCAAUGAAUUUCUUUAGAAACGAGCAAAGUAUCCCUCCGCUUUGAUCUCUAUGAAAGAAGAAAGGUCGUCAGGGUUGAAGAUUUUAGAGUUUUUUUUUUAAUGAAAUAAUAUUUGGGUGAAAAGUAAUACUAUAUUGUAAAAUAAAUUGUUUCUUUGUCAUUAUAUAUGUCAUGAUGAAUAAUUUAGUGCAUAAUGUAUUAAUUAAAUUAUAAAUUUAUCUUUAUUCUAAAAUAGUUUUUGUGCGGUGAUUAUACUUGAAAGGUCCCUGCAUUACAGGGAUUGGAUCACAUGGUUUGUCAUUUUAAUUUUUUAUUCAAUAAAAAUUUCAAUAAGAAAAAGGAGUUGAAUAAGAUAAUAGGUGUGGGGUAUGCCUGGCAUUUUCGGACCUUUUAGGCACUUACUGUUACCCCUAUCGCGACACGAGGACUUCAAAAACACAACAUGCCCAACAGACGAUGACAUCAUAACGAGGAGGUUUCCGACGUCACAACGACACAGUGUCACAACAACGGACGACAUCAUGGUGAGAUGAUUCAGGACAUUGUGACAUGGCGAUGUGUUCCCAUAUAAAUCAGGUUUCGUUUCCCAGUUAAACUCUGCUACCUUUUCGAGUCAAACUUAGAUUAUUUUAGAGAUAUUUUUUAGUCAGAUAUUCACACUAAUUUCAACCUAUAUAAGGACUUUAGUAACCCUAGAAUCGACAUCUUCAUCACAUUAAGAUUAAGAGAAGAUUAAGAGAGUUUUUGAAAGAGUUUAAGGGAAUUUCUUAUUUUAGCCAGAGAACUUUAUUUUUUAGGAUUCAGGGUUUUCUGUUUUGGUUAUCUCCAUCUUGUACUCUUCGUUUAUUUGCUCAUUAAGUAAAGCCUAUUUUGCCUGUGGUUUUUUUAUAAUCUCCAAAGGGAUUUUUCCAUGUAAAUAUUUGUGUAUCCAAUUUUAUUUUUCUCUUUUUUUUGUUGCGUAUUGAUCCACAAUAAACUGGCAUUAGAGCUUAGUUCAUUUUUCACAAUCAAUUCGUUCAGGGAUGACAAUGAGAUAUAAUAUCGAGAAGUUCGAUGGCAUCACAAAUUUCAGUUUAUGGCACGUAUGGAUGAUAGUUAUUUUGGUUCAGUAUGGCCUGAAAAAUGUCAUUACAGGGAAAAAGCCCGCAGAUAUGAAUCAGUUAGAAUGGGAUAAGCUUGAUAAGAAGACUUUGUCAGCAAUUCAGUUGUGCCUCACAAACAAUAUGUUGCAGGAGAUAUUUACAGAGAAAACGAUAGCAGCCUUAUAUAUGGAGUAAGUUAGAAACCCUAUACAUGACCAAGUUUCUAGCAGAUCGAUUGGUGUUGAAACAACACCUUUACACGUUUCGUAUAGCCGAAGGUGAGUACCUUAAGAGUCACAUUAGUCAAUUUGUUACUCUCUUGAAUGAUCUUAAAAACGUCGAGGUUAAUAUAGAUGAUGAAGAUCAGACUAUGCUAUUAUUGUGCUCUUUGCCCCUUUCGUAUAAGUCUUUCAAGGAGACCUUGAUUUAUAGUAGAGAUAAACUCUCGUUCGAGGAAGCAAAAGGAAACGUGUUGAGCAAAGACAGACUUGACAAUGAGUUUGAUUCGGAUAGCAAGUCAAAUGAGCAAGCCUCGGUUUUGGUUGCAAGAAGCAAGAAAGAAUCAAAGUCAAGGAAUCGAGACAAAACAUGUGGCUACUACAAGAAGUUAGGUCACAUUAAGACAAAGUGUUUGCAAAAAAUCAAAUGCUAGUUCAUUGUAUGCAUGACUUUUUUAGAUGUAUGAUUCUGAUUGGUACAUAAAUAUAUAAUAUACAUGACAUGCAUAUAUUUUUACAAUCAUGAAAAAGAGAAAGAAAGAAGUUAAUGAAAUUUUAAGCAAUGCAAGGAAAUAAUGUUUCAGUUGGUGCCUCAAGCCAAAAACACAUGUUUGUUCGAUGAUUUGAAAUCCAAAUAACCAUGUCUAUUUUGUAAACUUCCAUACAUGAAAAGUUAUGACUUGUCAAAAGGCACUUGUGUACUUAUUGGUACAUUAUAUAGAGUUGUUUGGUUGGAGUUGAAUUAAUUUAAUUCAUUCCAUCCAAUUUCUGAGUGAAAUUUUUAGUACAAAAAUAUUCUUUCUUUUUAAUGAUAUUCAAUUUGAGAUAUGAUAUUAUUUAUUUAAAUAAUGAUAUUAGUAACCAACAUUUGGAUAAUAUAGAUGAGACAUCAUUUUCAUUGUUAAAAAUGAAAGUUUGUAGAUGAUCGUAUAAUAUAAAUGAUUUUAGUUGUUGUUUUUAUUAAAUACCCUUAAGCUAAACGAGUUUUAUAAAUGAUUGCACAUUUUUUAUUCUAUAUCAUAAAGUUUGGACUAGAAGUGAUUUUGACUAGAAAAGAAUUAAGUUAUAUGCAUAUGUAUGGUUAAUUUUUCUAAUCAAUGUAGAAUAGUGGAAAAUUUGGCUUAUAUAAUAAUAUCAUUAUUCUGAUAUGAAAUUUUCUAGUGAGAAUAUAUAACGUGAUAAUCAUAUAUUUAAAAUCGAGAUCAUAUUGUGCAUAUUUAUAAUGGUGCAUAUGGUUUUUGUACAUGGCUUGGAUAUAAUCCAUGGUCUCACGAUUCUAUAAAAUUUGAGAUGUAGUAAAUUUCAAAAUUCACUUUCAAAGUCACGAAUAAAAAAAUAUCAUGAGUAUGAAAUUACAAUAUGACUACUAUUUGACCCAUUUUUAGGUGAUGGACCUGAUUUUGAUCAUAGUCAGAAAAUAAUUGAUAAUGCCCAUGGUGAAUAAAUGUAUGAUUUUAUAGUUGACUGGACAAUUGAUGGUAUAUUAGUGUGACUAUAUAUGUUACACCCUUGUAUAUACAAGGUGUGUUGAGAAAAAUAAUGUUAUUUGACUAUGAAUGAAAAAAAAAUUAAAGUCAUCUACUGAUUUUGAAAAUAAACUAUGACAAAUAACAAAUAUGUUGUCCAGUUUCACCAAGAGAUUGGCCUGUUAACAGCAACUUACUUGGUGAAAAAUACAUGAUUUAUGGUUUCUAUAUUUGGUUAUUGUGAAAUUAAUUUCUUGAAUAUUAAGAAAUAAAUAAAAUAGUCAAAUAUGAUAAGAAAAGAUAAAGUGAUCACUAUAAUUUGACAAUAGCAAAAAGGAUAUCCUUGAUAGCAUUUUUUUUGCGAAAAGAAUGAGUAAUUAACACAGUGAGGAUGUUGGUCUUCUAAAUUUUUAAGACAUAAAUAAAUAUUAUAAAGUUUCACCAUGUGAUAUGGAUAGUUAACAUAACUAUGUUGAAAUUUUGGAAAUUGAGAGAUGAGGUUCAAGCCUAUAAUAUUUGAGUCACGGAAACUCAACUCAACGCUUGGUAUAACGUUAAGUCUUGAGUUCAAUAAAGUAAAGUACAUCAUCAAUAUGUGGCUACUAGCACUAUAAAAAAUAUAUAUUAUAAACAUCAGACAAUGAUUAUCUUUGAAACGAUACCAAAUAUCUACCAAACCUCAUAAUUUAGACGAAAAUUAAAAUUUAGCUACUCAUAAUUAAAGGAUAAUAAAAUAAAACUCAAAUAACAAUGGCCUUGGUCUCUUCGGGUGCGCCCCCGGCCCCUCUCCUUACGUCUAUUAUUAUUAAAACCUAAUUAAGUAGCUGUGGCGGCCCCCAAUUUUGACGAAAAUAAUGAUAAUAAUAUCCAAUGACCCUAAAAAUAAGGGUAAUAUUAAAACCAAGAAAGAAAAUUUUAAAGAUAAAUAUUCUAAUCAAAAUUAGGUUAUUGGAAUUUAAAAAUAUAUAUUAGAGUUGAAUACAAAUAAUAAAUAACUUCAAAAUUCAUUAGAAAAUUUAAGAAUUUCAUCGCAAAUUGUAAUAAUUUUAAUUUAUUUAAUAUAUAUUUUUAAAUGGUUUGACUGUUAAGAGUGUUCACCGCCUUAGAUGUAGCUUGAGUUUAAGUCAUGUUAGUCGUAUUAAUCAUUCGAGUUUUAUUCUAUUAUCAUAAUUCACCAAAAAAAUUCGAAAAUUGUGUAUAAAAUUGGUAUCUACCUUUUUAAAUUAAACUUCGAUGCACUAAACACGGUGUUAAGCAAAUUGGUAUUGUUUAGAGCAUUUUGUUUUCCCUAGGAGUAGACUUUGACAAAGUAAAUGGAAUAAUAAAUAUAAAACUUUUGAAACAUAGUUAUAAAUAAGUGUAACACAUUUCCAUACUCACAACCAACUUAAGAACAUGAAAUUCCUUCAACUUUCUGUGCUUCCAUUUCUUAUUGUGAUAUUGUCAUUGAAUGGGGCAACUUUAGCUCAUCCUUAUGGAGAUUUCCUUCAUUGCCUUUCUCUCCGUAUAUCAAACUCUUCUACUAUUUCUAAAGUUAUUUACACCCAAAAUAAUCCCUCCUAUUCAUCGGUUUUGAAUGCUUCUAUUCAUAAUGCUAGGUUCUCUACACCAACCACCCCUAAACCCUAUGCCAUUAUUACACCACGCAAAACAUCCCAUGUCCAAUCAACAAUUUAUUGUUCCAACAACCAUGGCUUCCAACUUAGGAUUCGAAGUGGUGGUCAUGAUGUUGAGGGUGUUUCUUAUGUUUCUCAAGUUCCAUUUGUCAUCCUUGAUUUGGUCAACUUUCGAGAGGUUAAAGUUGACACAGAAAAUGAAGUUGCCUGGGUUCAAUCUGGUGCAACUACAGGUGAAUUAUAUUAUGGGAUUGCUUCGAAGACGCAGACGCUCGGCUUUCCUGCUGGUAUUUGCCACACUAUAGGCAUUGGUGGGCAUUUAAGUGGGGGUGGAUUUGGCGUAUUGGGCCGUAAAUAUGGUCUUGCUGUUGAUCAUGUAAUUGAUGCUAAAUUGGUUGAUGCUAAUGGAAGGGUUCUUCGUCGAAAAUCCAUGGGUGAAGAUUUGUUUUGGGCUAUCCGAGGAGGUGGAGGGAAUACCUUUGGGGUUGUUCUUGCUUGGAAAGUAAAGUUAGUCCCUGUUCCACCGGUUGUAACUGUGUUUACAGUUAACAAGAACUUGGAACAAAAUGCAACCAAAAUCUUCCAUCGAUGGCAAUACAUUGCUCACAAGUUACCCAAGGAUUUAUUUACGACUGUUUGGGUAAUGAAGGUGAAUUCCAGUCAAGUAGGGAAGAAAACAGUUCAAGCUGGUUUUAGGGGCAUGUUUCUUGGUGGGGUUGAUGAGUUGCUUCCAUUGAUCCAGCACGAGUUUCCAGAGCUAGGACUUGCCAAAGAGAAUUGUACCCAAAUGAGUUGGGUUCAAUCUAUUCUUUACUUUGGAGGACUUCCAAUUCAAACCGUGGAUAUUUUGCUUAAUAGACAUGCUCUUCCAGUAUCAAGCCUCAAAGCCAAAACGGACUUCGUCAGGGAACCGAUGUCUGAAACUGGAAUCGAAGGGUUCAUGAACAUGUUUCUUGAGGAAGAAGCUGACUUUGCUAUAACGAUGAUAGAGGCUUUCGGAGGCAGAAUGGAUGAAAUCCGGGAAAAUGAAUUACCUUACCCACAUAGAGCAGGCAUCUUGUUCGAAUCCAGUUACUUUGUCCAAUGGACAAAUGAAGCAGAUGCAGGACUGUGCAUAAACUGGAUCCGAAGACUCUACAGUUAUAUGGCCAGUUAUGCUUCGAAAUCUCCGAGAGAAGCAUAUUAUAAUUACAAGGAUCUAGAUCUUGGAACUAACAACAUUAUUGGUUACACAAGUUACGAACAAGCUAGCGUUUGGGGUCUUAAAUAUUUCAAGAAUAACUUCAAAAGAUUGGUACAAAUAAAGACCAAGGUUGAUCCAAUGAAUUUCUUUAGAAACGAGCAAAGUAUCCCUCCUCUUUGAUCUCCAUGAAAGAAGAAAGGUCGUCAGGUUGAAGAUUUUGGAGUUUUUUUUUUUUAAACAUGAAAUAAUAUUUGGGUGAAAAAGUAAUACUAUGGGUCUGUUUGAUUGACGGAAUUGAUUUUCCGGAAAAUCAUUUCCAACUUUUCCAGCGUUUGAUUGGCAGAAAACAUUUUCCAUUUAGAAAAUGAACUCCAAAACAAGGGAAAAUGGGUUACAUUUUAGGGAAAAUGUCUUACCCUUUCAAUUUCCGUAAGACAUUUUCCAUGCUCUCCUCUCUAUCGCCUCCUUCAUUCCUUCCUUCAUUUCCGAUAGAAAAUUGCUUCUCUUUAUCGAUUUUCCAGUAACUUAUUUUUUUAAUUAUUCAAUACUUUUUUUAACACAAUUACAAAUAAUUUAUUUGAUAUUAGUUUUUUUCAAUUUAUAACGAUUAAUAUUGUAGCUUAAUAAUUGAGUAUUAUUAUAAAUAAAUCAUAUAUAUUAAUAUAUGUAAAAAUAACUUUUUCAUAAAAUAUUUUCAGGAAAUCUGCCAAACAGCAGAAAAUAUUUUACACAGAUUCAAUCAAACACCAUAAAAUAUUUUCCAAUAAAUCACUUUACAGAAAAGUAAAACAUUUUCUAGAAAUUAUUUUACGGAAAAUAUUUUAUUAGCAAUCAAACAGAUCCUAUAUUGUAAAAUAAAUUGUUUCUUUGUCACUAUAUAUGUCAUGAUGAAUAAUUUAGUGCAUUACAGGGAAUGAAUCACAUGGUUUGUGAUUUUAAUUUUUUAUUUAAUAAAAAUAUCAAUAAUAAAAGGAGUUGAAUAGGAUAAUAGGUGUGGGGUAUGCUUCGCAUUUUCGAACCUUUUAGGCACUUACCGUUACCCCUAUAGCAACACGAGGAUUUUAGAAACGCAACACCCCCAACAGACGAUGACAUCGUGACGAGGAGGUUUUCGAUGUCACAAUGACGCGAUGUCAUGACAUCGUGGUGAGAUGAUUCAGGACAUUGUAUGUAACACCCCAAACCCGGCCUAAACAUUAAGGCCGAAUCUGGUGAUGUCACAUUGUAACACCUCUUACCCGUAUUCAGCGCUGGAAUAGGGUACGAGGCAUUACCAGAAUAAAUACACUUAUAGACAUAUUAAACCGAGUUAUAAAAUUUCAUCCAAAUUAAAAACUUUCAAACCAUCCAAAUUAAUAACAAUCAUAAAUCUUUUUAUGUUAAUUUCAUAUAUCACUUACCGAACUUCGAAUGUUAAUUUACAAAUAUGUAAUUCACUAACACAUUCUGGUAUACACAAUGUUUAAUUGAUGAAAUCAUUUAAUUGAGCUAAAUUUCAUGUUCAUUCCAAAUUUUCUUCUAAAUCUAUAUACGCUUCCACUUACCAUUUACCUAAUCAAUUUUUCGAACCAAGCUACCACACAACAAUAAUACAUCACCUGUGCUUCAUGAAUUCAAUGUUCGAUUCUUAUCACCAUCAAAUCCAUGUCAUUCAAAUAUUUAAAGUUUAUUCAAGCAUAUAUUAUUACGUUUCAUAUACCAAGCAUAUGUCAAAAUUACGAAUACGCAAUCAAUUCAUUUGUCAUUUAUUUGACUAGCAAAUUAACCUCAAAAUUUAUAACAUUCCAUUACUUAAGAUAUGUCAUAAAACACUCCUUUAACAUAAACUAGUACCGUGGCCAAAUUUUUAUUAUGCUAUUUAUUACCCUUUUUUCGUAUCACAUAGCAAAAUAUUACAAAUAUGUAUAUAUUUGAAUACUAUAAUUAUGCAUCAACUUACCAACAUGAGUUAAUUCAUGAGUCACUCAUGACAUCACUUCAUGCCAAAUAUACCACACACAUAUGAUAUGAAACUUUAUUUUCUCUCAUGAGCUUACCAAGACCAGUAAUGCACCAAUGUAAACAUCACCCUUAUUUUAACGUUUAUCGAUUAUAAUCAAGCAUAUAAGCAAUUAUACACAAUUCAUUCAUAUGCUUUAUUGUCCUCCUCCUCCUCCUCUCCAUCCCACAUCCUUUAUGUAUAUAACAUGCUCAAAUAGCAUUAUAUAUAAUUUCGCUAUUCACUUAUAUUUAAAUUCAAAGCUGUCUAUUUGAGUCAGAGUUACUAAAUAAUUUUUAUCCGGAGCUACAGAGCUCCAAAUUAAGAUCCGCUAAUUUUCCCUGAAACUAGAUUCACAUAUCUUCUUACCAUAAAAUUUCCAAAAUUUUUGGCUUAGCCAAUAACUACAGUUUAUUCUUUAAAGUUUCCCCUGUUUCACUGCUUGAUAGUCCUGACCUCUCUUCACUAAAAAUUAAUUAUCUCAUUGUACAGAAUUCAGAUACUGUUUCCAUUUGUUUCUCUUUGUAUAGAACUCAACUUUUGCACUUUUUACAAUUUAGUCCUUUUGGCUAAAUUGAGUGCCCAAAUGUCGAAAUUUUUGAAUGAAAUUUUUAUGAAAUCAUUUCGUGAAAUUGUAGACCAUAAAAAUAUAAUAAAAAAAUAAAUUUUUCCUCUUCAAAUUUGUCGUCCUGAAACCACUGUUCCGACUAAGCCUAAAAUCGGGCUAUUACAACUUUCCUCCCUUUAGGGAUUUUCGUCCCCGAAUUAGCGACUCGAAGAUAAUGAUUUGAAAGUUUUUAAUUUGAAUGAAAUUUUAUAACUCGGUUUAAUAUGUCUAUAAGUGUAUUUAUUCUGGUAAUGCCUCAUACCCUAUUCCAGCAUUGAAUAUGGGUAAGGGGUGUUACAAUGUGACAUCACCAGAUUCGGCCCUAAUGUUUAGGCCAGGUUUGGGGUGUUACAUUGUGACGUGGCGACAUGUUCCCACAUAAAUCAGGUUUCUUUUCCCAGUUAAACUCUACUAUCUUUUCCAGUCGAACUCUAAUUAUUCUAGAGAUAUUUUAGUCAGAUAUUCACACUAAUUUCAGCCUAUAUAAGGGCUUUAGUAACCCUGGAAUUGACAUAUUCAUCACAUUAAGAUUAAGAGAAGAUUAAGAGAGUUUUUGAAAUAGUUUAAGGGAAUUUCUUAUUUUAGGCAGAGAACUUUAUUUUUUGGGAUUCAGGGUUUUCUAUUUUGAUUAUCUCCAUCUUGUACUCUUCAAUUAUUUUCUCAUUAAGUAAAGCCUAUUUUGCCCGUGGUUUUUUAUUCUCUCUAAAGGGAUUUUUCCAUGUAAAUAUUUGUGCGCCCAGUUUUCAUUUUCUCUUUGUUGUUGCGUAUCGAUUCAUAAUAAACUGGCAUAAGACCUUAGUUCAUUUUCCGCAAUCAAUUCGUUCAGGGAUGACAAUGAGAUAUGAUAUCGAGAAGUUCGAUGGCAUCACAAAUUUUAGUUUAUGACAAGUCUGGAUAAUAGUUAUUUUGGUUCAGUAUGGCCUGAAGAAGGUCAUUACAGGGAAAAAGCCCGCUGAUAUGAAUUAGUCAGAAUGGGAUAAGCUGAUAAGAAGACUUGGUUAACAAUUUAGUUGUGUCUCACAAACCAUGUGUUGCAAUAGGUGUUUAUAGAGAAAACGAUAGUAGUCUUAUGGAGUAAGUUAGAAACCCUGUACAUGGCAAAGUUUCUGGCAGAUCGAUUGGUGUUGAAACAACACCUCUACACAUUUCGUAUAGCAGAAGGUGAGUACCUUAAGGGUCACAUUAGUCAAUCUGUUACUCUCUUGAAUGAUCUUAAAAACGUCGAGGUUAAUAUAAAUGAUGAAGAUUAGACUAUGCUAUUAUUGUGCUCUUUGCCCCAUUUGUAUAAGUAUUUCAAAGAGACCUUGGUUUAUAAUAGAGAUAAACUCUCGUUCGAGGAAGCAAAAGGAAACUUGUUGAGCAAGGACAGACUUGAUAAUGAGUUUGAUUCGGGUAGCAAGUCAAAUGAGCAAUCCUCGAUUUUGGUCGCAAGAAGCAAGAAAGGAUCAAAGUCAAGGAAUCGAGACAAAACAUGUGGCUACUGCAAGAAGUUAGGUCACAUUAAGACAAAGUGUUAUAAGUUGCAAAAAAUCAAAUGCUAGUUCAUUGUAUGCAUGACUUUUUUAGAUGUAUGAUUCUGAUUGGUACAUAAAUAUAUAAUAUACAUGACAUGCAUAUAUUUUUACAAUCAUGAAAGAGAGAAAGAAAGAAGUUAAUGAAAUUUUAAGCAAUGCAAGGAAAUAAUGUUUCAGUUGGUGCCUCAAGCCAAAAACACAUGUUUGUUCGAUGAUUUGAAAUCCAAAUAACCAUGUCUAUUUUGUAAACUUCCAUACAUGAAAAGUUAUGACUUGUCAAAAGGCACUUGUGUACUUAUUGGUACAUUAUAUAGAGUUGUUUGGUUGGAGUUGAAUUAAUUUAAUUCAUUCCAUCCAAUUUCUGAGUGAAAUUUUUAGUACAAAAAUAUUCUUUCUUUUUAAUGAUAUUCAAUUUGAGAUAUGAUAUUAUUUAUUUAAAUAAUGAUAUUAGUAACCAACAUUUGGAUAAUAUAGAUGAGACAUCAUUUUCAUUGUUAAAAAUGAAAGUUUGUAAAUGAUCGUAUAAUAUAAAUGAUUUUAGUUGUUGUUUUUAUUAAAUACCCUUAAGCUAAACGAGUUUUAUAAAUGAUUGCACAUUUUUUAUUCUAUAUCAUAAAGUUUGGACUAGAAGUGAUUUUGACUAGAAAAGAAUUAAGUUAUAUGCAUAUGUAUGGUUAAUUUUUCUAAUCAAUGUAGAAUAGUGGAAAAUUUGGCUUAUAUAAUAAUAUCAUUAUUCUGAUAUAAAAUUUUCUAGUGAGAAUAUAUAAUGUGAUAAUCAUAAAUUUAAAAUCGAGAUCAUAUUGUGCAUAUGGUUUUUGUACAUGGCUUGGAUAUUAUACAUGGUCUCACGAUUCUAAAAAAUUUGAGAUGUAGUAAAUUUCAAAAUUCACUUUGAAAGUCAAGAAUAAAAAAUAUCAUGAGUAUUAAAUAACAAUAUGAAUGCCAUUUGACCCAUUUAGGUGAUGGACCUGAUUUUGAUCAUAGUCAGAAAAUAAUUGAUAAUGCCCAUGGUGAAUAAAUGUAUGAUUUUAUAGUUGAUUGGACAAUUGGUGGUAUUUUAGUGUGACUAUAUAUGUUACACCCUUGUAUAUAUAAGGUGUGUUGAGAAAAAUAAUGUUAUUUGACUAUGAAUGAAAAAAAAUUAAAGUCAUCUACUGAUUUUGAAAAUAAACUAUAACAAAUAACAAAUAUGUUGUCCAGUUUCACCAAGAGAUUUAUGGCUUGUUAACAACAACUUACUUGGUGAAAAAUACAUGAUUUAUGGUUUCAUAUAUUUGGUUAUUGUGAAAUUAAUUUCUUGAAUAUUAAGAAAUAAAUAAAAUAGUCAAAUAUGAUAAGAAAAGAUAAAGUGAUCACUAUAAUUUGACAAUAGUAAAAAGGAUAUCCUUGAUAGCAUUUUUUUGCGAAAAGAAUGAGUAACUGAACAUGGUGGGGAUGUUGGCCUUCUAAAUUUUCAAGACAUAAAUAAAUAUUAUAAAGUUUCACCAUGUGAUAUGGAUAAUUAACAUAACUAUGUUGAAAUUUUGGAAAUUGAGAGAUGAGGUUCAAGCCUAUAAUAUUUGAGUCGCCAAUGAUAGAAACUCAACUCAACGCUUGAUAUAACGUCAAGUCUUGAGUUCAAUAAGACAAAGUACAUCAUCAAUAUGUGGCUGCUAGCACUAUAAAAAAUAUAUAUUAUAUCAUUUCAAGGGAAAAGUGCUAGGCAUCUAUAAUGAUAAAGGGAAGGAUGAGUAUUAUACUCUUAAUAGAACCAUAGCAUAAAUAUGUUGGAGUGUUAUAAUUACGAAAAUACUUUUGAUGGGAUCUACCUAUAUGAGUGGAAGUGUGCUCGCUUUUAGGAGCUCAAGCGCUUUGCUCUGAUAACACUCAUAAAAAGAGGUUAAGAUACAUGGCUAUAAUAAUGUCUCUGGAUACUAUGUAUUGGCUGGUGUUGAAAUCGUUGUGUGAAAUGUGUUCGGUUAAUUAAAUUGAAUAGCUGAUUCAAAGUAUAGUCUACCAUGCAAUUUUGAUUAAUUUUAACAUGUUUUCAAUAAGUGAAGGUUCAAUUGUAAUACACCUUCACUUAUUCAAUUUAUUUCCAAGAUUAUCGAAAUAUAGAAUAUUUUGAAAACGGGGGAGAUUGUUGGAACAUUUUAAAAAUAUAUAGUGUUCCAAUAAUUACAAAUGAAAAAUGGUAAAUUUCCCAAAGUUGUCAAUUAAUUAAUAAUAAAGAGCUAUAAUUAUUCGAGUAGAUCCCUAUUGAAUAAUUAUGUUUAUGGCUAAAUAUAUGACUAUCCAUUUGGGGUAGUUAUAUCCCUAUAAAAAGACAUGAGACCUCCUAUAAAUAGGAGUGAAAUUUCAUUUGUAAGACACAAUAGAAAGCACAUCAAAAGUUUUUUUUCUAUUCUCCAACCAUAUUUUAUUUUUCUAGAUUGUUCUAUAACAAAUUGAUAUUCUUGUUAUGCUUCACUCAAUGCUCAGUGGACUGUUUCUAUCAGUACAAAACCCGACAGCUAUUGGGCUUCAUUAUAUUCUCGAGAUUUAUCUGCCAAUAAUUCUUUUAUACACCAUAAUAUAGGUGAAUACGAAUAAUUAAACCUUAAAAAAAGAACAUUGAUACACGUCUUAAAAUAUUUGUUAACUUCUCAUAAAUUUAUUUUUACCCUCGCGCACCAACACCACAAAUCAACUAUAAAAUCUGAGAGAAUACAUUCCCCACUAAUCACAAAAGAGAAAACCCAAUCUGAAGAUUGUGAAACAUGCUUCAGAAAAAUGCAUAUACCAACAAAAGAUUGUUUAGCGAACAACAAAAAUAUCAAAACUCUUUUAAACAAUUUCUUUGCCUAAAGCAUAAUUAUUCUAAAAUAGUUUUUUGACAUUUUAAUUUUUUAUUUAAUAAAAAUUUCAAUGUUAAAUAAGGUAGUAGGUAAGCUAAGUAAUUUUAUUUUAUUAAAAAUAUUAUAUUUGAAAUAAAUUAUAUUUUUAAUAAAAUGAAAUAUUUAAAAUACCAUUUUUUUACUUUUAUCCAAAAAGAUUUAAAAUGUUAUAUUAAAGAUAAAUAAUUUUUUUAAAAAUUAAAAUUCACUUUUAUCAAACCACAUAAUUAUAUUUAAUAUUUAAGUUUUUAUUAAUUUAGCAUAUAAAUUUAUUUAUUUUAUAUAAAUUUAGUAUUAAAAUUAAUUCAUCACUUAAAAUUUCACUUUAUAAAACAACAUAAUUUUUAAUCCCUUGAAUAUCAAAUAAUUUAAAAAAUCAUUUAAUUGAUUUUUUUUCUAUAAAAAUCAUUGAAAAAAAAAUGUAAUUAGAGGUUAUUUAUCACUUAAAUAUCUUUUUAAAUAAACAUAAAAUCAUAACAGUUUAAAUUAAUUAUUUUUAUUAUUGUUUUGGAUAUUAUUAAAAGUAUAUACAUUCUUAUAAUUUCUUUUUUUUUUCGAUAUUUAAAUUUUUCAAAAUUUAAAAUUUAUAUUUAUGUUUCUCACUUUAUAUUUAGUAAAUCCAAGAGAGUUAGUGCAAUGGAAGUGAGUUAAAUUUUGGGUCAACUUUACCUAUAUGGUUGGAUAAAGACAAGCAAUCGGUUUAAUUCGUAGGUUGGAUCACUUUAAUUGAGAAAAUUAAUUAAAUAGAAUCGACUUUGAUUCGAUCAAUUUAGUUGAAUUUUUUGAUUAAUUAAUUUUAAGUUGAGUUUAUAUGAUUAUAUAUGUAUUAUAUUUUUUAAAAUAACAUAAAUAAAGUUAUUUUUUUAUCGGUUCAAUUUUAAUAUUUAAAAAUGGAUGACCGAUCGAAUUAAAUAAUGAAAUCAAAGUCAAAAUGGAUGAACCCACAUCGAAAUCGGAAAAACCAAAUGCAUGAAUUAAAUUGCUGUUCCCUAAAGUCAGAGUCUUGAAGGGGAUUGUAUUAUUUUACCAUUCCAAGUUUGGGGGCUUAAACUUCGAGUUGAUCGAAUCGGGUUAUUCGAAUUAUUUGAGUUAAUUCGAAUAUGUAAUUCGAGUUUCAAGUUCAAAACGAGUUGAAUUUUACAAUUCGAUUAACAGAUUGGUGUAACUACCCUUUUAGUCCCUUCCAAGUUUGAAAAUAAACAAAUUGGCCUCUCUCUCAACAAAAAUUACAAAAAAAAAUUCAAAAUAAAAAUAUUUAUAAAAAUUCCAAAAUUUUUAUUUUUUAAAAAAUUAUAAAAAUUUUAAAAAAAAUCUAAAAAAAUGUAUAUAGAAAGUUUAAAAAAGUAAAAAAUUUCUAGAAUAAUAAUUUUGAGGACCUAUGUAAGUUAAUUAAUGAUUCAAGUUUAUCAUACUAAAGAAUUUUUUGAUUAUUUUGCUUUGAAAAUAUUUUCAAAUAUAUGUGCUAUGACAUGGAAUUAGUUAUAUUGUAACAAGAUUUUAAUUUGACUUGUUUAAUUUUUUUUAAUUUAACUAGAACAAUUUCACUCAAUUUGAUUCGAAAAAAUUUCAAAUCGAGUUAGGGUGAGAAAAUAUGACUCGUCAACUCAAUUAAUUCGAAAUUUUUUCACUUGACUCAAUCGAACACUCACCCUUAAAUUCUUAUGUGGGAAAGUACUUCAACAAUAUCAAUGAUGAGUUAAUUGAAUAGUUGAUGGUGUGAUAAAUAUAUAUAUAGAUUCCAUAUCGCCCCUAUUAAAUAGUUACAUAUAUGCAACACAGUAUUUCAAUAUUUAAUUAGCAAAAUUAGUAGAAAAAGAUGAUUUACAUUAAGAGGAAUUCAAUCUAGAAUAUAAAGCUACCCAAAUCAACCGUUAUUUUGAGGUAAUAUUUACACACACUAAAGGGACUAAAAUAAAAAUGAUCUUAUUUUAAUAAAAAGAAAAAUUGUCUAUAGUCUAAUAGUUGUCCUAUACUUAGCUAAACAAAAUUCAAUUCAAUUUAAAAAGAUGAGAAAACAUGUUUUUUUAGCAAAUAUACUACAGAAAUAAUUAAAAUAUGAAAAGAAUAAAAGAAAUUAUAAAUAUAAAACAUCUCAAACAUAACUAUAAAUAAGGUAACAAAGUGUGACACAAUCCCAUCCUCACAACUGGCUCAAGAACAUGAAGUUCCUUCAAUUUUCUGUGCUUCCAUUUCUUAUUGUGAUAUUGUCAGUGAGUGGGGCAAAUUUAGCUCGUCAUCCUCAUCGGGAUUUCCUUCGUUGCCUUUCUCUUCGUAUAGCAAACUCUUCUACCAUUACUUACACCCAAAAUAAUCCCUCCUAUUCAUCGGUUUUGAAUGCUUCUAUUCAUAAUACUAGGUUCUCUACACCAACCACCCCUAAACCCUAUGCCAUUAUUACACCACGCAAAACAUCCCAUGUCCAAUCAACAAUUUAUUGUUCCAAAAACCAUGGCUUCCAACUUAGGAUUCGAAGUGGUGGUCAUGAUGUUGAGGGUGUUUCUUAUGUUUCUCAAGUUCCAUUUGUCAUCCUUGAUUUGGUCAACUUUCGAGAUGUUAAAGUUGACACCAAAAAUGAAGUUGCCUGGGUUCAAUCUGGUGCAACUACAGGUGAAUUAUAUUACGGGAUUGCUUCAAAGACACAAACUCUCGGCUUUCCUGCUGGUAUUUGCCACACUAUAGGCAUUGGUGGGCAUUUAAGUGGGGGUGGAUUUGGCAUAUUGGGCCGCAAAUAUGGUCUUGCUGCUGAUCAUAUAAUUGAUGCUAAAUUGGUUGAUGCUAAUGGAAGGGUUCUUCGUCGAAAAUCCAUGGGUGAAGAUUUGUUUUGGGCUAUCCGAGGAGGUGGAGGAAAUACCUUUGGAGUUGUUCUUGCUUGGAAAAUAAAGUUAGUCCCUGUUCCACCUGUUGUAACUGUGUUUACAGUUAACAAGAACUUGGAACAAAAUGCAACCAAAACCUUCCAUCGAUGGCAAUACAUUGCUCACAAGUUACCCAGGGAUUUAUUUACGACUGUUUGGGUAAUGAAAGUGAAUUCCAGUCAAG
rnacentral:lncRNA from 1 species